GCCAUUGAUUAUUAUCUUUUUUUCAUCUAAAAUUAAUUAUAGCUGCAAAUAAGAAAGAAAAGUUAUACUGACAGGAGAUGAACAAAAAAAAAUAAUUAAAACAAUACAUGAGGGGGGUGUAUCUACAGUUGCAGGUAUUGCUAUGGGAGGGCAUCUGGGGAUUAAUAAAACUAAUCAAAUAAUAGCUAAGUAAAAAUUUGCAAUAUUCUUUUAAUUAUUUUUUUUAAGCUUUUAUUGGUUGGGGAGCAAUAAAAGUGUUUUAUCAAAUCCUGUGAGGUUUGUCAAAAAUCAAGCAGUCAUUUUGAUAAAACCUCAAAUGUUUUACAUAUAUUUGAUUUAUUUUUUAAUUUAUUACAUAUACAGAAUUGGAUGAUGAUAUUUUGAUAAUAAAUAAAUUAGAAAAUAUCCCUAGAUAUUUUUUUCCUACAACAAAGGUAUGGAAAAAAUAUCAUGCUAAAAUAUAUGGUCUAAAGCCUCCCAAACGUUGUCGGGAUGUAGAAUGUAGACUAUGGGAAACAACUUGGUGAACCCACCAUCCUGGUGCAAAUUGAAGGUGAUGGGAAUAUUUUUUAUAGGGCGAUUAGUGUAGAGCUUACUGGAGCUCAAAAUUCCCAUGUCAUUCUCAGGCAAUGGUUGGCACAAUUUACGCUAACAUCCAAGAUGGGAAAGGUAAUUAAAAAUUAUCUUUACAACACGAACAAAAAAAUAGACAUAAAAACUUAUGUCUUAAAUAAUGUAAUGACACAGCAGAUAUGGGCUUCUGACACAGAAGUCAGGGGGAUGGCCACAAUGUUAAAUACGGCUAUUUUUACUUAUAUAAAAUAUAAUGAUAAUUUUGUAUGGGCCCGAUAUGACCCAUUUUAUAUUCGCGACAAUAUUAAAAUAUUUAAAAAUAAUUUUAUUUAUAUAAAAAAUGGGGGGAGUCAUUUUGAAAAUGUUUUAGAUUGUGAUUUAUCUUCCAUCUAAUCACUAUUUAUUAUUUUUAUUAAAAACAAUUUUUUAUAUAAAAAUAUAUAAAUAUAUUUCAUUCAUAUUAUAAUUUAUUGCCUUAUAUAUAUAUUUUUUAUGAAAGUUGUAGUUUAUAAAUAAUAUUCAAUUACAUUCUGAUAUGCAAUAUAUGAUAAUAAUUAUAGUUUUCCAUGAUGUUUUUAUUAAAUU